rnacentral:lncRNA from 1 species
AGAGGUGGGUCCUCCGCCCACCACGUGCAGUGCCACCCACCCGCAGAUGAUGCUGGGUCUUCACCACCCAACCAAAACCACAACGUGAAUUUGCAACAGGGGAGGAAAAAAGAACCAAAACUUCCAAGGCCCUGCUUUUUUUUUUUUUUCUUAAAAGUAAUUUGAAAAAGGUAAAUUUGUUUGUAUUUUUAUUUACAUUUUAUAUUUUUGUACAUAUUGUUAGGGGUCAGCCAUUUUUAAUGAUCUCCGAUGACCAAACCAACCUUUGGAGCGUUCUCUGUCCUACUUCUGACUUUACUUGUGGUGUGACCAUGUUCAUUAUAAUCUCAAAGGAGAAAAAAAAAAUAACCUUGUAAAAAAACCAAAAACAACAACAAUAAAAAAAUCCGUAUUCCGAGCAUUCCAGUAACUUUUUUUGUGUAUGUACUUUAGCUGUACUAUAAAUAGUUGGUUUGUAUGAGAUGGUUAAAAAGGCCAAAGAUAAAAAGGUUUUUUUUUCUUUUUUUGUCUUUGAAGUUGCUGUUUAUUUUUUUGACCUGUUUGAUGUAUGUGUGAAAUAACGUUGUCCAACAAUAAACCAG